rnacentral:rRNA from 1 species
AUGGCCCAGCACCUGCUCGUGGCGGCAGAUAGGUAUAAUCUCGAAAGGCUAAAGUUGAUCUGGGAGGACAUGUUGUGCGGCAACAUUGACAAGAGCACGGUGGCGACCACCCUGACACUAGCCGAGCAGCAUGGCUGUUGUGGCCUCAAGGAGGCGUGCUUCAACUUCCUCAGUCGGAUUCCGGGCAACCUUGAGGCCGUCAUGGCGAGCGAUGACUUUCAGCACCUUAAGACAAGCUGCCCUUCCCUCGUGCAGAUCAUCAUCGACCAGGCCACCGCCGUAUCCGGAUCACACGUUCUCAAGAUAGACGGCUACUCCCAAACCAAAGGGCUCGGUAAUGGCAGAUGCGUCACGUCCAUGGUGUUCGUCAUCGGAGGCCGUCACUGGAGUAUGCAAUACUACCCCGACGGCCAAACCUCAGAGGACGCCGGCUGGAUAUCCAUCGUCAUCAUGUGUAAUUACACCUGUGAUGAUGAUGAAGGCGCUGUCAAAGCGCGGUACGAGAUCAAUUUGCUCGGCCAGGACAGAAACCCGGUGCCAGUGUGCAGUAGGGCUAGCAGUUCACCACGCGAAUUCUCCCAUGGGCGAGGACAUGGUGGGAAGCUCAUCGAGAGGAGCGUCUUGGAGGGAUCCGGCUACCUGAAAGACGAUGCUUUCAGUGUAAGGUGUGAUAUCACCAUCUUAGAGUAA